CUCUAACUCGUGUGUGUGUAUGCCUUUGUGUGUUGAAGCUUUGAGAGAAGAUUUUGGUGUAGGAGUUUGGGGAAAACAAGCGAUUGAGGCAAGGAGCUGGGAGGAGAUCCUAAUUCUUCUGUUGUGGACCUCUCUUGGGAAGGUACUUCAGGAGAUCGAGGGAAGGCGAAGGCGUGACCGUACCGCUCCUCAUCCUCAUGAUCUGUUUUGGGACACUCUGAUGAUAAAUGAAUUGGAAAUGUUUUGUAAAAACAAUUACUAUUUGGCUCUUUUGUUAGUAUUAAAAGUUUAAAUUUGGCGUAAA